GGCGAGUGAAGUGGGAAUAGCUCAGACUGAAAAUCUUCGGAGUUGUGGUCUGGAGAAGUAAGACAAAUGGUGGAAGCCUUCGUAAAGUCGCAUGGAAAGGCGCGCCAAGGAGGGUGAGAGCCCCGUUCAUACGAAGGUGGAAGUCGGCGUCUGCUUCCAUGAGUCGAGUUGUUUGGGAUUGCAGCUCUAAUCGGGUGGUAAAUUCCAUCUAAAGCUAAAUAUGGGUAGGAGACCGAUAGCAAACAAGUACCGUGAGGGAAAGAUGAAAAGAACUUUGAAAAGAGAGUGAAAAAGUACCUGCAAUUGCUGAAAAGGAACCGAUGGGAAGUAGUGUGGGUGAUGCCAGGUUCCUGGUAUUACCGGUCUCGCUUUCUUGGCUGUCGUGGGAAAAGGCCUUAAAAACCUGUCAUGAUGCCGAGAGACUGAGACAAAAUGCUUCUCAUCAACCCGUCUUGAAACACGGACCAAGGAGUCUAACAUGUGUGCGAGUGUUCGGGAUCGAAUCCCCAGCGCGAAAUGAAAGUAAAGUCCCAUUAGGGAUGAGGUAGGAGGAGUCACAUCCGCACUAUCGACCGACUAUGAUUCUACGGAAGAAAGGUUUGAGUAUGAGCAUACAUGUUGGGACCCGAAAGAUGGUGAACUAUGCCUGAAUAGGACGAAGCCAGGGGAAACUCUGGUGGAGGUCCGUAGCGAUUCUAACGUGCAAAUUGAUCGUCGAAUUUGGGUAUAGGGGCGAAAGACUAAUCGAACCAUCUAGUAGCUGGUUCCUCCCGAAAUUUCCCUUAGGAUAGCUGCAACCGAACAGUUUUAUCAGGUAAAGCGAAUGAUUAGAGGCAUCAGGGGUGGAACGUCCUUGACCUAUUCUCAAACUUUAAAUGGGUAAGAGCCCCGGGUUGCUUAAUUGAACCUGGCGGUGGAAUGACGGUUGCUAGUGGGCCAAUCUGGGUAAGCUAGAUUGGCGAUGCGGGAUGAACCGAACGUUGAGUUAAAGUGCCAAAGUAUCCGCUAACCUAGAUCCCACAAAAGGUGUUGGUUCAUUA
rnacentral:rRNA from 1 species